AACGAACGCUGGCGGCAUGCCUAACACAUGCGAGUCGAACGAGACCUUCGGGUCUAGUGGCGCACGGGUGCGUAACGCGUGGGAACCUGCCCUUAGGUUCGGAAUAACUCCCCGAAAGGGGUGCUAAUACCGGAUAAUGUCUUCGGACCAAAGAUUUAUCGCCUUUGGAUGGGCCCGCGUUGGAUUAGCUAGUUGGUAGGGUAAAAGCCUACCAAGGCGACGAUCCAUAGCUGGUCUGAGAGGAUGAUCAGCCACACUGGGACUGAGACACGGCCCAGACUCCUACGGGAGGCAGGAGUGGGGAAUAUUGGACAAUGGGCGAAAGCCUGAUCCAGCAAUGCCGCGUGAGUGAUGAAGGCCUUAGGGUUGUAAAGCUCUUUUACCCGGGAUGAUAAUGACAGUACCGGGAGAAUAAGCGCCGGCUAACUCCGUG
rnacentral:rRNA from 1 species